UACAGAGGUCUCAAGCGUUGUUCGGAUUCAUUGGGCGUAAAGGGUGCGUAGGCGGCGCGGUAAGUCGGGUGUGAAAUCUUGGAGCUUAACUCCGAAACUGCAUUCGAUACUGCCGUGCUUGAGGACUGGAGAGGAGACUGGAAUUUACGGUGUAGCGGUGAAAUGCGUAGAUAUCAGGAGGAACACCGAUGGCGAAGGCAGGUCUCUGGGCAUUAACUGACGCUGAGGAGCGAAAGCAUGGGGAGCGAACAGG
rnacentral:rRNA from 1 species